rnacentral:ncRNA from 1 species
GUAGUCUGCCAUACGCAGGAAGACCCGCUGAACUGAAGCAUCUCAUUAAGCGGAGGAAAAGAAACUAACUAGGAUUCCCUUAGUAAAGGCGAUCGAAAAGGGAACAGCCCAACGUCUUAAUCCCGCAAGGGAAAUGUAGUCGGUUCACCUAUUGCACUGGUCUAAGUCAGAUGGAAUGCUGCGCGAUUCAGAGUAAAAGCCUCGUAUGACCAACCGCAAGCUUACGAUGGACCGGGGAGAGUCGGAUACUUUGAGAGUAGUGUCUUAAGGGGGUGGUAUGUCCCAUCCAAGGCUAAAUAACGUGAGGAGACCGAUAGAUUACAAGUAGUGUGAACGAAAGAUGAAAAGAACUCUAAAACAGAGGGUGAAAAGUUCCUGAACUUGCUUAGGGUUAAGGCUAUUUAUAGUACCCGUCUUGAAACACGGAUUAGGGAGUUUAUCUGUAGUGCGAGUCUUUGCACGUUAACUGUAAAGGCGUAGAGAAAGCAACUGGCGUUUGCAUGGCUACUGAGCAUUACUGAUAGGACCCGAAAGGUGGUGAACUUUGCCUGCACAGGUUGAAGUCAGGGGAAACUCUGAUGGAGGACCGUACGGGUUAUUGAUGUGCAAAUCAUUUUUCUGAUGUAGGUAA